AGCUCAGUUGGUAGAGCACAUCCUUGGUAAGGAUGAGGUCAGCGGUUCGAAUCCGCUC
rnacentral:tRNA from 1 species